rnacentral:rRNA from 1 species
CCAAUAGCGUAUAUUAAAGUUGUUGCAGUUAAAAAGCUCGUAGUUGAAUUUCGGGGUCAGUAGGUUGGUCAUGCCUCCGGUAUGUACUGGUCUCACUGAUUCCUCCUUCCUGAUGAGCCGUAAUGCCAUUAAUUUGGUGUUGCGGGGAAUCUGGACUGUUACUUUGAAAAAAUUAGAGUGUUUAAAGCAAGCUAACGCUUGAAUACAUUAGCAUGGAAUAAUGGAAUAGGACGUUCGAUCCUAUUUUGUUGGUUUCUAGGAUUGACGUAAUGAUUAAUAGGGAUAGUUGGGGGCAUUAGUAUUCAAUUGUCAGAGGUGAAAUUCUUGGAUUUAUUGAAGACUAACUACUGCGAAAGCAUUUGCCAAGGAUGUUUUCAUUAAUCAAGAACGAAAGUUAGGGGAUCGAAGACGAUCAGAUACCGUCGUAGUCUUAACCAUAAACUAUGCCGACUAGGGAUCGGAUGAUGUUAAUUUUUUAAUGACUCAUUCGGCGCCUUACG